rnacentral:rRNA from 1 species
GGUUAAGCGACUAAGCGUACACGGUGGAUGCCCUGGCAGUCAGAGGCGAUGAAGGACGUGCUAAUCUGCGAAAAGCGUCGGUAAGGUGAUAUGAACCGUUAUAGCCGGCGAUGUCCGAAUGGGGAAACCCAGUGCAAUUCGUUGCACUAUCGUUAACUGAAUACAUAGGUUAACGAGGCGAACCGGGGGAACUGAAACAUCUAAGUACCCCGAGGAAAAGAAAUCAACCGAGAUUCCCCCAGUAGCGGCGAGCGAACGGGGAGCAGCCCAGAGUCUGAAUCAGCUUGUGUGUUAGUGGAACGGUCUGGAAAGUCCGACGGUACAGGGUGAUAGUCCCGUACACCAAAAUGCACAGGCUGUGAACUCGAAGAGUAGGGCGGGACACGUGGUAUCCUGUCUGAAUAUGGGGGGACCAUCCUCCAAGGCUAAAUACUCCUGACUGACCGAUAGUGAACCAGUACCGUGAGGGAAAGGCGAAAAGAACCCCGGCGAGGGGAGUGAAAAAGAACCUGAAACCGUGUACGUACAAGCAGUGGGAGCACCUUCGGGUGUGACUGCGUACCUUUUGUAUAAUGGGUCAGCGACUUAUAUUCUGUAGCAAGGUUAACCGUAUAGGGGAGCCGCAGGGAAACCGAGUCUUAACUGGGCGUUAAGUUGCAGGGUAUAGACCCGAAACCCGGUGAUCUAGCCAUGGGCAGGUUGAAGGUUGGGUAACACUAACUGGAGGACCGAACCGACUAAUGUUGAAAAAUUAGCGGAUGACUUGUGGCUGGGGGUGAAAGGCCAAUCAAACCGGGAGAUAGCUGGUUCUCCCCGAAAGCUAUUUAGGUAGCGCCUCGUGAAUUCAUCUUCGGGGGUAGAGCACUGUUUCGGCUAGGGGGUCAUCCCGACUUACCAACCCGAUGCAAACUACGAAUACCGAAGAAUGUUAUCACGGGAGACACACGGCGGGUGCUAACGUCCGUCGUGAAGAGGGAAACAACCCAGACCGCCAGCUAAGGUCCCAAAGUCAUGGUUAAGUGGGAAACGAUGUGGGAAGGCACAGACAGCCAGGAUGUUGGCUUAGAAGCAGCCAUCAUUUAAAGAAAGCGUAAUAGCUCACUGGUCGAGUCGGCCUGCGCGGAAGAUGUAACGGGGCUAAACCAUGCACCGAAGCUGCGGCAGCGACACUAUGUGUUGUUGGGUAGGGGAGCGUUCUGUAAGCCUGCGAAGGUGACCUGUGAGGGUUGCUGGAGGUAUCAGAAGUGCGAAUGCUGACAUAAGUAACGAUAAAGCGGGUGAAAAGCCCGCUCGCCGGAAGACCAAGGGUUCCUGUCCAACGUUAAUCGGGGCAGGGUGAGUCGACCCCUAAGGCGAGGCCGAAAGGCGUAGUCGAUGGGAAACAGGUUAAUAUUCCUGUACUUGGUGUUACUGCGAAGGGGGGACGGAGAAGGCUAUGUUAGCCGGGCGACGGUUGUCCCGGUUUAAGCAUGUAGGCUGGUUAUCCAGGCAAAUCCGGAUAAUCAAGGCUGAGGUGUGAUGACGAGGCACUACGGUGCUGAAGUAACAAAUGCCCUGCUUCCAGGAAAAGCCUCUAAGCAUCAGGUAACAUCAAAUCGUACCCCAAACCGACACAGGUGGUCAGGUAGAGAAUACCAAGGCGCUUGAGAGAACUCGGGUGAAGGAACUAGGCAAAAUGGUGCCGUAACUUCGGGAGAAGGCACGCUGGUGUGUAGGUGAAGUCCCUGCGGAUGGAGCUGAGACCAGUCGAAGAUACCAGCUGGCUGCAACUGUUUAUUAAAAACACAGCACUGUGCAAACACGAAAGUGGACGUAUACGGUGUGACGCCUGCCCGGUGCCGGAAGGUUAAUUGAUGGGGUUAUCCGUAAGGAGAAGCUCUUGAUCGAAGCCCCGGUAAACGGCGGCCGUAACUAUAACGGUCCUAAGGUAGCGAAAUUCCUUGUCGGGUAAGUUCCGACCUGCACGAAUGGCGUAAUGAUGGCCAGGCUGUCUCCACCCGAGACUCAGUGAAAUUGAACUCGCUGUGAAGAUGCAGUGUACCCGCGGCAAGACGGAAAGACCCCGUGAACCUUUACUAUAGCUUGACACUGAACAUUGAGCCUUGAUGUGUAGGAUAGGUGGGAGGCUUUGAAGCGUGGACGCCAGUCUGCGUGGAGCCAACCUUGAAAUACCACCCUUUAAUGUUUGAUGUUCUAACGUUGGCCCCUUACCGGGGUUGCGGACAGUGUCUGGUGGGUAGUUUGACUGGGGCGGUCUCCUCCCAAAGCGUAACGGAGGAGCACGAAGGUUAGCUAAUCCUGGUCGGACAUCAGGAGGUUAGUGCAAUGGCAUAAGCUAGCUUGACUGCGAGCGUGACGGCGCGAGCAGGUGCGAAAGCAGGUCAUAGUGAUCCGGUGGUUCUGAAUGGAAGGGCCAUCGCUCAACGGAUAAAAGGUACUCCGGGGAUAACAGGCUGAUACCGCCCAAGAGUUCAUAUCGACGGCGGUGUUUGGCACCUCGAUGUCGGCUCAUCACAUCCUGGGGCUGAAGUAGGUCCCAAGGGUAUGGCUGUUCGCCAUUUAAAGUGGUACGCGAGCUGGGUUUAGAACGUCGUGAGACAGUUCGGUCCCUAUCUGCCGUGGGCGCUGGAGAAUUGAGGGGGGCUGCUCCUAGUACGAGAGGACCGGAGUGGACGCAUCACUGGUGUUCGGGUUGUCAUGCCAAUGGCACUGCCCGGUAGCUAAAUGCGGAAGAGAUAAGUGCUGAAAGCAUCUAAGCACGAAACUUGCCCCGAGAUGAGUUCUCCCUGAGACUUUAAGUCUCCUGAAGGAACGUUAAAGACGAUGACGUUGAUAGGCCGGGUGUGUAAGCGCAGCGAUGCGUUGAGCUAACCGGUACUAAUGAACCGUGAGGCUUAACCUUAC